rnacentral:rRNA from 1 species
CAGUCGCCGCGGUAAUACGGAGGGUGCAAGCGUUAAUCGGAAUUACUGGGCGUAAAGCGCACGCAGGCGGUUUGUUAAGUCAGAUGUGAAAUCCCCGGGCUCAACCUGGGAACUGCAUUUGAAACUGGCAAGCUAGAGUCUCGUAGAGGGGGGUAGAAUUCCAGGUGUAGCGGUGAAAUGCGUAGAGAUCUGGAGGAAUACCGGUGGCGAAGGCGGCCCCCUGGACGAAGACUGACGCUCAGGUGCGAAAGCGUGGGGAGCAAACAGGAUUAGAGACCCCUGUAGUCCCUGUCUCUUAUAC